UGGGGAAUAUUGCACAAUGGGCGCAAGCCUGAUGCAGCCAUGCCGCGUGUGUGAAGAAGGCCUUCGGGUUGUAAAGCACUUUCAGCGAGGAGGAAGGUGGUGAACUUAAUACGUUCAUCAAUUGACGUUACUCGCAGAAGAAGCACCGGCUAACUCCGUGCCAGCAGCCGCGGUAAUACGGAGGGUGCAAGCGUUAAUCGGAAUUACUGGGCGUAAAGCGCACGCAGGCGGUUUGUUAAGUCAGAUGUGAAAUCCCCGGGCUCAACCUGGGAACUGCAUUUGAAACUGGCAAGCUAGAGUCUCGUAGAGGGGGGUAGAAUUCCAGGUGUAGCGGUGAAAUGCGUAGAGAUCUGGAGGAAUACCGGUGGCGAAGGCGGCCCCCUGGANGAAGACUGACGCUCAGGUGCGAAAGCGUGGGGAGCAAACAGAUUAGNUACCCUGGUAGUCCACGCUGUAAACGAUGUCGA
rnacentral:rRNA from 1 species